AGUUUGAUCAUGGCUCAGGAUGAACGCUGGCGGCGUGCCUAACACAUGCAAGUCGAACGGGAACCUUGGAUUCGUCUGAGGGGAGAGUGGCGAACGGGUGAGUAACACGUAGGUGACCUGCCCCAAAGAGGGGGAUAACUACUGGAAACGGUAGCUAAUACCCCAUGUGAUCCUUUGGAUUGGAUGACAGAGGAUGAAAGCUCCGGCGCUUUGGGAGGGACCUGCGGCCCAUCAGCUAGUUGGUAGGGUAAUGGCCUACCAAGGCAAAGACGGGCAGGGGACGUGAGAGCGUGACCCCCCACACUGGCACUGAUACACGGGCCAGACUCCUACGGGAGGCAGCAGUGAGGAAUAUUGCACAAUGGGCGAAAGCCUGAUGCAGCAACGCCGCGUGGAUGAUGAAUGCCUUCGGGUUGUAAAAUCCUUUUCUGGAGGAAGAGUAAGGACGGUACUCCAGGAAUAAGCGUCGGCUAACUACGUGCCAGCAGCCGCGGUAAAACGUAGGACGCGAGCGUUAUCCGGAUUUACUGGGCGUAAAGCGCGUGCAGGCGGUAUGGUAAGUCGGACGUGAAAGCUCCCGGCUCAACUGGGAGAGGUCGUUCGAAACUGCCGUACUUGAGGACGGUAGAGGAGAGUGGAAUUCCGGGUGUAGUGGUGGAAUGCGUAGAUAUCCGGAGGAACACCAGUGGCGAAGGCGGCUCUCUGGGCCGGUCCUGACGCUAAGACGCGAAAGCUAGGGUAGCAAACGGGAUUAGAAACCCCGGUAGUCCUAGCCGUAAACGAUGGAGACUAGGUGUAGGGAGUCAAAACCUCUCUGU
rnacentral:rRNA from 1 species